rnacentral:rRNA from 1 species
UACGAAGGGGGCUAGCGUUGUUCGGAUUUACUGGGCGUAAAGCGCACGUAGGCGGAUCGUUAAGUCAGGGGUGAAAUCCCGGGGCUCAACCUCGGAACUGCCUUUGAUACUGGCUAUCUUGAGUAUGGGAGAGGUGUGUGGAACUCCGAGUGUAGAGGUGAAAUUCGUAGAUAUUCGGAAGAACACCAGUGGCGAAGGCGACACACUGGCCCAUUACUGACGCUGAGGCUCGAAAGCGUGGGGAGCAAACAGG